rnacentral:pre_miRNA from 12 species
UAAUAAAGAGAGCUGUCCAUCGACAGUCCAGCUUCCCAAUUUAAUACUGUCAUGGAAUUGCUCUCUUUGUAUUA